UGUGUCAUUCCAGUUUCUACAACCAAUGCCACAAAUACAACAACGUCAUCAGGGCUAUCUACGUCUACCUCAAAAGUUCUAGUCUCAAGUACGGAAUACACAAAAUCAGAGACUCUGCCUGUUCCUUCUUCACAAGUUUCUACAACCAAUGCCACAAAUACAACAACGUCAUCGGGGCUAUCUACGUCUACCUCAAAGGU